UAGGAGGCGGGGGCGGGGGGGAAAUCCUGCCAAAUGUGGCAGCGGGCAAAAUUAUAUCCAUCGCCUCGCCAUGUUCAAAGCAUCAGGCAGCAGCCCCGUGAGGUGGAGGGGGGGAGGAGAAGGAGGGCGUUAGCCUUCAUUGUCAUCAUAGAGACUCGUCAUUACGAGGCGUUAUAUCUUAUAAACUUUUGGUUUUAAUUGCUGUGGUCGUUUAUUUAGUUUCCCUAGGGACGUCGUGGUGGGGAAAGUGUGUCCUCGAAUAACGAUUUAUGGGGGUGGGGGGUUUACAAGAGGCCGCCGUCUUCCAAGACGUCUUCUGGGCGAUGCAAAUGACACGCUCAAAAGCAUGGCCGCUAACACAACAACACUUGAAGAGGGCAAAUGAUUGUGAAAAAGAGCAGACUGCUGCUGCUGGAUGGGAGCGCUGUACAGUGACGUCACCACCGUCGCUCGCCGUCCUGUGUGAGUGUGUGUGAGCGAGAGAGAGAGAGAGAGAAAGAGAAAGAGCGAGCUCAAGUCCAAACAGUUUUCUCGUCGGCCAGCAGGUACCUCCCAUAUCUUCCUCGAUUUCCUAUCCUAAAAAGCAUUUUGCUGUGCUAACAGGCCGUGUCAGGCCGAUCCCGGCGGGCAGGUCGAAAGGGCGCGUCCAUGCAAGGUAGGUGACAUCCGCCAAAUGCACGGCGAUCGUGGGAGAAGGACAUAAAUUAGUGAUGUGUGUGUGUUGGGCGACUACUGUUAAGCCUAAGCGGCAGACAUACUCCGUGGCCGCCCCGACAACACCAAGUCUUUGCCUUGCCGGGGGAGUCAAGGUGCACACGAAGGAGGAGGAGGAGGAGCAGGACCACCCCACCUCCCUCCCUCCAACGACCCCUUCGUAGACAGGCUCGAUCUCCUUCCCCUGAAUUUACCGCCAAAAACCUUUCCUUCGAAGUCGCUCCGAAGUCGUUCGUUCCCUGACCAUCCGCAAGUGCAUAUGUAAAGGAGGAGGAGGAACCCACAUGCACCUGUAAUUACGUCGAGGGGGGAAGGGGAGGGGGAGCAGGUCCAGGACCUGGGCGACCCGCUUUUCAUCUGAUCUUGAAUUAUUAUUGACUGGCUCCUCUCCUCCGGGUGGUGGCUGGCUGGUGGUGUGGCAUCAGCAGCAGCAGCAGCAAAGCAUCGGCAGCAGGCGGAGGACUGUUGUGGUGUGUGCAGGAAAGUCCUAUAUAUAGGCUGCAAGUGCCCUUCGGAAGAAGACACCGCCGAAUAUAUAGUUUCAAAUCCCCUUCGUAACUUUAAAAGGGACCUCCUUCGUAACUUGGACGGUUCUUAUUUUCGCGUCUGGUCUCGUGAACUACACACGUGCUGCUGCUGUGUCGGCCUUGACACUGAACUGUAGAAGUGGGAGUAUUUUAGCGAGUGCUUAAAUUUCGCAGGGCGACUUUGCCGGUCCCCCUUCCGAGGCCUUUUUGGAGUACUAGUCGGGUCCUCUGGGUGUCCGAAAUUGUUAUAAAGGCCCGAGUGAACAGGCUCGACGUCUGGGCUAACCGAAGUGGUUUGUGAAAGGGCUGUCAAAAAGGUGAUAUAUAUUUAUAUAUGUAAUAGUGCGUCAAACGUAUUUUUUCUCUCCCGUUCGAUUCUGUGUUGUGUUGGGGAGAGAGAGUGUGUGUAUGUGUUUGAGUGUGUGUGGAAUUCCAUUGAUGAACUUAUGUUCAGAACACACUGACUUUUACAAGGAAAGAAAAGACAACGGUAACUGACCCAAGGAGGAAUAUUUUUGAGUACCCAGAAGCCUCUCGUGCAACCUGAAGAAGUAUAUUUGGGUGAAACACUGAAAUCCACCGGAAACAGCAGCGGGAACAGCAGAAAUAGGAACAGCAGGCAUUUUAUAUACGCGCGCACCGGAGGAAACAGCAGCUGUUGAGAUUCUACAGUUGACCGCGCAGGUAUUGCAAAUUGAAGGUACUCUCGUCAGUAUCGCGCUACUGAAGGAGUGAGUUUUUGUGGAACAAAAAUGGCCGGGAAUAAAAAUACCUGUGUUUGUGUACACCCAGGCAGCAAUGUUCACAAAGAGGAACACAGUUUCCACUAGUCUACUGAAGUCAGCACAAG